UACGAAGGGGGCUAGCGUUGCUCGGAAUUACUGGGCGUAAAGCGCACGUAGGCGGCCUGUUGCGUCCGCUGUGAAAGCCCGGGGCUUAACCCCGGGUCGGCAGUGGAUACGGGCAGGCUAGAGGUAGGUAGGGGAGAAUGGAAUUCCCGGUGUAGCGGUGAAAUGCGCAGAUAUCGGGAGGAACACCGGUGGCGAAGGCGGUUCUCUGGGCCUUACCUGACGCUGAGGAGCGAAAGCGUGGGGAGCGAACAGG
rnacentral:rRNA from 1 species